CCGAGCUCCCAGGGUUAAUGG
rnacentral:miRNA from 1 species